rnacentral:rRNA from 1 species
UACAGAGGUCCCAAGCGUUGUUCGGAUUCACUGGGCGUAAAGGGUGCGUAGGUGGUGGGGUAAGUCGGACGUGAAAGCUCGGAGCUCAGCUCCGAAAUGGCAUUGGAAACUACCCUGCUAGAGGAUUGGAGGGGGGACUGGAAUACUUGGUGUAGCAGUGAAAUGCGUAGAUAUCAAGUGGAACACCAGUGGCGAAGGCGAGUCCCUGGACAAUACCUGACACUGAGGCACGAAAGCUAGGGGAGCAAACAGG